GAUGAAGAACGCAGCGAAAUGCGAUAAGUAAUGUGAAUUGCAGAAUUCAGUGAAUCAUCGAAUCUUUGAACGCACAUUGCGCCCGCCAGUAUUCUGGCGGGCAUGCCUGUUCGAGCGUCAUUACAACCCUCAGGCCCCCGGGCCUGGCGUUGGGGAUCGGCGGAGCCCCCCGUGGGCACACGCCGUCCUCCAAAUGCAGUGGCGGUCCCGCCGCAGCUUCCAUCGCGUAGUAGCUAACACCUCGCGACUGGAGAGCGGCGCGGCCACGCCGUAAAACACCCAACUCUUCUGAAGUUGACCUCGAAUCAGGUAGGAAUACCCGCUGAACUUAAGCAUAUCAAUAAGCGGAGGA
rnacentral:misc_RNA from 1 species